GGAUGUGAGGGCAAUCUAGCUGCAACAUUUGUCACCCCAUUGAUCGCCAGGGUUGAUUCAUCUGAUCUGGCGGGCUAAGUGGGUGUCCCCUUCCUCCCUCAAAGCUCCCUCCUGAUGCUGUCCCUCCUGAUGCUGCGUGCUUGGUCAAAGAGGAUGACCACCCCCAAUAGAGGAGGACCAUUCCUAGCUCUAGGGUAUAUGACUAGCUGUGCCCCCUGCUAGAACCUCCAAACAAGCUCUUAAGAAUGACCCCAGGAAUUAAACUAAAAUAAAAGAAGAGAAAAUGAGAAGACAGUU
rnacentral:snRNA from 1 species